AUACAUUAUUACACACAAAAAACCCGUUUUUCUUUAUUUUUACUAGGAGUAGUUUUAAUUCAAUCCACCUUAAUUUUUAUCUUAUAAUUAGUAUAAUUAAUUAGUAUAUAAUUAUUCAUCCACUUAUGACUAAUUCCGACUUGUCCGGUAUUUAUCCAAACGCCGACACUGUAUAACCUUAACAUAAUCAUUUACUUUUUGCAUGGUUAUUUCUGCGAUUUGUUGUAUAUCAAAUUGAUUAAAAGGAAAUUCAUCUAUAUCUCGUUAUACUUCUGAAAAAAAUUAAACAUUUACCACCUUUGCGAACGAAUUGCCAUUAAAUGUAGUAACUCUAUUAGUAUUAAAUGUUAUAAUAGUUUCUUCUGUCGAGAGGACUAUUAAUAUCAUUUCGUUAAACGGAAUUAGAACGUAUCCUUCUUCCUUAUGUUUUUCUCUGAUGUGAAUAUUUAUAAAAACAUUUUUUAAUGAGCCUUUUAAGAUGCAUGCAAUUUGGUCUCACCUUUUUCGGCCAAUUCUCCAACGUUUGGGUAUUUUCCUUUAUUAUUAACAGUAAAAGCAGAAAUUCGGUAAAAACCAUCUGUAUCCAAAUUCAGCCAUUUCUUACUCGUGUUCUUUCUCUGACAGAUGCAUAUGGUAUUCUUUAAUGGAAAUUGUCUUUGACUAAUUAUCUAAAUUUCUUUUUUUCAUAUUUAUU